rnacentral:rRNA from 1 species
UACCAUGCAGUCGACGGUAACAGGAAGCAGCUUGCUGCUUCGCUGACGAGUGGCGGACGGGUGAGUAAUGUCUGGGAAACUGCCUGAUGGAGGGGGAUAACUACUGGAAACGGUGGCUAAUACCGCAUAACGUCGCAAGACCAAAGAGGGGGACCUUCGGGCCUCUUGCCAUCAGAUGUGCCCAGAUGGGAUUAGCUGGUAGGUGGGGUAACGGCUCACCUAGGCGACGAUCCCUAGCUGGUCUGAGAGGAUGACCAGCCACACUGGAACUGAGACACGGUCCAGACUCCUACGGGAGGCAGCAGUGGGGAAUAUUGCACAAUGGGCGCAAGCCUGAUGCAGCCAUGCCGCGUGUAUGAAGAAGGCCUUCGGGUUGUAAAGUACUUUCAGCGGGGAGGAAGGUGUUGUGGUUAAUAACCGCAGCAAUUGACGUUACCCGCAGAAGAAGCACCGGCUAACUCCGUGCCAGCCGCCCGGGGUAAUACA